rnacentral:rRNA from 1 species
UACGGAAGGCAGCAGUGGGGAAUAUUGCACAAUGGGCGAAAGCCUGAUGCAGCUAUGCCGCGUGUAUGAAGAAGGCCUUAGGGUUGUAAAGUACUUUCAUCGGGGAGGAAAAAACAAAACUAAUAAUUUUAUUUCUUGACGUUACCCGAAAAAGAAGCACCGGCUAACUCCGUGCCAGCAGCCGCGGUAAUACGGAGGGUGCUAGCGUUAAUCAGAAUUACUGGGCGUAAAGAGCACGUAGGUGGUUUUUUUAAGUCAGAUGUGAAAUCCCUGGGCUUAACCUAGGAACUGCAUUUUGAAACUGAAAUACUAGAGUAUCGUAGAGGGAGGUAGAAUUCUAGGUGUAGCGGUGAAAUGCGUAGAUAUCUGGAGGAAUACCUGUGGCGAAAGCGGCCUCCUAAACGAAUACUGACACUGAGGUGCGAAAGCGUGGGGAACAACAGGGAUUAGAUACC